GACGAACGCUGGCGGUGUGCUUCACACAUGCAAGUCGAACGAGGUAGCAAUACCUAGUGGCGGACGGGUGAGUAACGCGUGGGAAUCUGCCUUUAGAUGGGGGAUAACGGGUCGAAAGACUCGCUAAUACCGCAUAUGACGAAAGUUGAAAGGAGUAAUCCGUCUAAAGAUGAGCCCGCGUCCGAUUAGCUAGUUGGUAGAGUAAAAAGCCUACCAAGGCGACGAUCGGUAGCUGGUCUGAGAGGAUGAUCAGCCACGAAAUGGGACUGAGACAUGGCCCAUACUCCUACGGGAGGCAGCAAGUCGGGGAAUUUUACGCAAUGGCGAAAGCCUGACGUAGCGACACCGCGUGAGUGAAGAAGGCCU
rnacentral:rRNA from 1 species